CACCGCGGUUAUACGAAGGGCCCAAGUUGAUAGUUGCCGGCGUAAAGCGUGGUUAGGUUAAAAUUUGAAACUAAAGCCGAACGUACGCAAAGCUGUUAUACGCGUUUGAACAACGGAAGCCCAAUUACGAAAGUAGCUUUAUGUUAGCUGAACCCACGAAAGCUAGGGCA
rnacentral:rRNA from 1 species